AUACGUAGGGGGCGAGCGUUGUCCGGAAUGAUUGGGCGUAAAGGGCGCGUAGGCGGCUCGGUAAGUCUGGAGUGAAAGUCCUGGGUUUAAGCUGGGAAUUGCUUUGGAUACUGUCGGGCUUGAGUGGUGGAGAGGUAAGUGGAAUUCCCAGUGUAGGGGUGAAAUGCGUAGAGAUUGGGAGGAACACCAGUGGCGAAGGCGACUUACUGGACUGUAACUGACGCUGAGGCGCGAAAGUGUGGGGAGCAAACAGGAUUAGAUACCCUGGUAGUCCACACUGUAAACGAUGAAAGCUAGGUGUAGGGGGUAUCGACCCCUUCUGUGCCGCAGUCAACACAAUAAGCAUUCCGCCUGGGGAGUACGACCGCAAGAUUGAAACUUAAAGGAAUUGACGGGG
rnacentral:rRNA from 1 species